AUACCAUGAUAAGGGCUUUUUUGUAAUAACUCUUUAAACAGUUCCCAUUCCUCAUACAAGGACUGUUCAUCGGAUUGCUGAAACAUAGUAAUUUCAUAUCUAAGCUU
rfam:Gossypium arboreum cultivar AKA8401 contig_9343_3, whole genome shotgun sequence.